rnacentral:rRNA from 1 species
AUUGAACGCUGGCGGCAGGCUUAACACAUGCAAGUCGAGCGGAGAUGAGGUGCUUGCACCUUAUCUUAGCGGCGGACGGGUGAGUAAUGCUUAGGAAUCUGCCUAUUAGUGGGGGACAACAUUCCGAAAGGAAUGCUAAUACCGCAUACGUCCUACGGGAGAAAGCAGGGGAUCUUCGGACCUGGCGCUAAUAGAUGAGCCUAAGUCGGAUUAGCUAGUUGGUGGGGUAAAGGCCUACCAAGGCGACGAUCUGUAGCGGGUCUGAGAGGAUGAUCCGCCACACUGGGACUGAGACACGGCCCAGACUCCUACGGGAGGCAGCAGUGGGGAAUAUUGGACAAUGGGGGGAACCCUGAUCCAGCCAUGCCGCGUGUGUGAAGAAGGCCUUAUGGUUGUAAAGCACUUUAAGCGAGGAGGAGGCUACUGAGACUAAUACUCUUAGAUAGUGGACGUUACUCGCAGAAUAAGCACCGGCUAACUCUGUGCCAGCCGCCGCCGUAAUAC